rnacentral:rRNA from 2 species
UAACCUGCCUGUAAGACUGGGAUAACUCCGGGAAACCGGAGCUAAAACCGGAUAGUUCCUUGAACCGCAUGGUUCAAGGAUGAAAGACGGUUUCGGCUGUCACUUACAGAUGGACCCGCGGCGCAUUAGCUAGUUGGUGGGGUAAUGGCUCACCAAGGCGACGAUGCGUAUCCGACCUGAGAGGGUGAUCGGCCACACUGGGACUGAGACACGGCCCAGACUCCUACGGGAGGCAGCAGUAGGGAAUCUUCCGCAAUGGACGAAAGUCUGACGGAGCAACGCCGCGUGAGUGAUGAAGGUUUUCGGAUCGUAAAGCUCUGUUGUUAGGGAAGAACAAGUGCGAGAGUAACUGCUCGCACCUUGACGGUACCUAACCAGAAAGCCACGGCUAACUACGUGCCAGCAGCCGCGGUAAUACGUAGGUGGCAAGCGUUGUCCGGAAUUAUUGGGCGUAAAGGGCUCGCAGGCGGUUUCUUAAGUCUGAUGUGAAAGCCCCCGGCUCAACCGGGGAGGGUCAUUGGAAACUGGGAAACUUGAGUGCAGAAGAGGAGAGUGGAAUUCCACGUGUAGCGGUGAAAUGCGUAGAGAUGUGGAGGAACACCAGUGGC